UACGUAGGGUGCAAGCGUUGUCCGGAAUUAUUGGGCGUAAAGAGCUCGUAGGCGGUUUGUCGCGUCUGCUGUGAAAUCCCGAGGCUCAACCUCGGGCUUGCAGUGGGUACGGGCAGACUAGAGUGCUGUAGGGGAGAUUGGAAUUCUUGGUGUAGCGGUGGAAUGCGCAGAUAUCAGGAGGAACACCGAUGGCGAAGGCAGGUCUCUGGGCCGUAACUGACGCUGAGGAGCGAAAGCAUGGGGAGCGAACGGU
rnacentral:rRNA from 1 species